GGUGAACGCUGGCGGUAGGCCUAACACAUGCAAGUCGAACGGCAGCACAGUAAGAGCUUGCUCUUACGGGUGGCGGGGGCCGGCGGGGUAAGAAUUACAUGGAAUCCACCUUUUCCUGGGGGAUUACCGUGGGAAACCUACCGUUAUUCCCCAAUAGACCCACCGGUGGAAGGCAGGGGUCUUUGGACCUUUGCCGGUUGAAUUAAGCGGAUGUCGGAUUAGCUAGUGGGCGGGGUAAAGGCCCACCAAGGCGACGAUCCGUAGCUGGUCUGAGGGGAUGAUCAGCCACACUGGAACUGAGACACGGUCCAGACUCCUACGGGAGGCAGCAGUGGGGAAUAUUGGACAAAGGGCGCAAGCCUGAUCCAGCCAUACCGCGUGGGUGAAGAAGGCCUUCGGGUUGUAAAGCCCUUUUGUUGGGAAAGAAAAGCAGCAGGUUAAUACCCCGCUGUUCUGACGGUACCCAAAGAAUAAGCACCGGCUAACUUCGUG
rnacentral:rRNA from 1 species